rnacentral:rRNA from 1 species
GGGUCGAAAGACUCGCUAAUACCGCAUAUGACGAAAGUUGAAAGGAGUAAUCCGUCUAAAGAUGAGCCCGCGUCCGAUUAGCUAGUUGGUAGAGUAAAAGCCUACCAAGGCGACGAUCGGUAGCUGGUCUGAGAGGAUGAUCAGCCACAAUGGGACUGAGACACGGCCCAUACUCCUACGGGAGGCAGCAGUGGGGAAUUUUACGCAAUGGGCGAAAGCCUGACGUAGCGACACCGCGUGAGCGAAGAAGCCCCUUGGGGUGUAAAGCUCUGUCAGCUGGAACGAAAAAAAUGACGGUACCAGCAGAGGAAGCAUCGGCUAACUACGUGCCAGCAGCCGCGGUAAGACGUAGGAUGCAAGCGUUGUCCGGAUUUAUUGGGCGUAAAGAGUUCGUAGGUGGUUUGUUAAGUUUGGUGUUAAAGAUUGGGGCUCAACCCUGAAACUGCACUGAAUACUGGCAGACUCGAGUGUGGUAGAGGCUAGUGGAAUUCCCAGUGUAGCGGUGAAAUGCGUAGAUAUUGGGAA